ACGCUCGACAGUGUCAGCCGCCGCGGUAAUACGGAAGGGGGCUAGCGUUGCUCGGAAUCACUGGGCGUAAAAGGGCGCGUAGGCGGCCGAUUAAGUCGGGGGUGAAAGCCUGUGGCUCAACCACAGAAUUGCCUUCGAUACUGGUUGGCUUGAGACCGGAAGAGGACAGCGGAACUGCGAGUGUAGAGGUGAAAUUCGUAAGAUAAUUCGCAAGAACACCAGUGGCGAAGGCGGCUGUCUGGUCCGGUUCUGACGCUGAGGCGCGAAAAGCGUGGGGAGCAAACAGGAUUAGAUACCCCUGGUAGUCCACGCCGUAAACGAUGAAUGCCAGCCGUUGGCCUGCUUGCAGGUCAGUGGC
rnacentral:rRNA from 1 species